AGGGCAGUAGCUCUAACGGUAGAGCGCCGGUCUCCAAAACCGGAUGCUGGGGGUUCGAAUCCCUCCUGCCCUGCCA
rnacentral:tRNA from 3 species